ACCUUGCUGGCUCAGUCGGUAGAGUAUGUGACUUUUGAUCUCAGGGUCGUGAGUUCAAGCCCCAUAUUGGGCA
rnacentral:tRNA from 1 species